UACGGAGGGUGCAAGCGUUAAUCGGAAUUACUGGGCGUAAAGGGUGCGUAGGUGGUUUGAUAAGUUAGCUGUGAAAUUCCUGGGCUUAACCUAGGGUGGUCAGCUAAGACUGUUAGACUUGAGUAUAGGAGAGGGUAGUGGAAUUUCCGGUGUAGCGGUGAAAUGCGUAGAGAUCGGAAGGAACACCAGUGGCGAAGGCGGCUACCUGGCCUGAUACUGACACUGAGGCACGAAAGCGUGGGGAGCAAACAGG
rnacentral:rRNA from 1 species